GGGCGGGGACUGCUGUCAAACACUCCAGCCGUAGUCGCGGAGUCGGGUCUCGGUGGCUUCGCGUGCGGCUGCCCUGCCCGUCUCUUCGCAACUGGUGCGCUGCCUGCAUCCCUGCGAGACGCGGCGAUAGGCGCAAACAUUCCACGGCCCAAGCAGUUUCGUUGCGCUCUGCCUUGGCGGCUGUCGGUGGAUGGCCAGGGAGGUCAACUAUCCGCAGGGUAGCUUCAGGCGGUUUGCAAGCAGAGGGCUGGACGGCUGUGGGGCUCCUCUGAAGCACACCUUCUCUCCUUUGAGGUUAUUUCCCCCUGCAGGGGAAAGCCUGAUGCAGGUUUUGAAAAAGCGGGAAUCUAGGAGUCCUCAUUGCAAAUUGGAGUGUGUCCUACUAAACCAAACAGACUUCAAGAAAUAAUUGUGCUCAACUUAUCAGACAGCUGCAGCAAAUAAAGUCAUAGAAGUGCAAGCAGGCAGAUGCAGGUGAUUGCCUCAUGGCCACAGCUAACCAUUGGGAUGAACAUCAUUCAUCCAGUGUUGUGUAACGUGGACCAGCUCUUUAGCUUGAGAAAGACAGUAUGAAGGUAGCUGCCUGAGAAAUUGCUGAAGGGUGGGUGGUAGGCAUUUGCCAUUCAGCACUCACACAGUCAAGAAAGGGUGAGUGGCAAAUUGCUUGGGUGUGUUAAGCCAUUUACUAACUAUUCUAAACACAGUGUUGUAUCUUGUGGAGCUCUUUUCACUAGGUUGGAAUGCUUAAUUGGAAGAUGGAUUCUAAA